UUAUCGGAGAGUUUGAUCCUGGCUCAGAACGAACGCUGGCGGCAGGCUUCAUACAUGCAAGUCGCGCGAUUAAGACCCGCAAGGGUGAAUAAAGCGGCGAACGGGUGAGUAACAGGUGGAUAAUCUGCCCCUCGGCGGGGGACAACGGCUGGAAACGGCCGCUAAUACCGCAUGUGGUUGCCGGGACUCGGGUUCUGGCAAAGAAAGGAGCUGCAAGGCUUCACCGAGGGAUGAGUCCGCCCCCCAUUAGCUAGUUGGCGGGAUAAUAGCCCACCAAGGCUUUGAUGGGUAGCCGAGCUGAGAGGUUGAUCGGCCACACUGGAACUGAGACACGGUCCAGACACCUACGGGUGGCAGCAGUAGGGAAUAUUGGACAAUGGGCGAAAGCCUGAUCCAGCCAUGCCGCGUGAGUGACGAAGGCCUUCGGGUCGUAAAACUCUUUUCUGAGGGAAGAACAUCCGGGGUAGGAAAUGCCCCCGGCUUGACGGUACCUCAGGAAUAAGCAACGGCUAACUCCGUGCCAGCAGCCGCGGUAAUACGGAGGUUGCGAGCGUUGUUCGGAAUAACUGGGCGUAAAGGGAGCGCAGGCGGUUUGGUCAGUUCAAAGUGAAAGCCCGGGGCUUAACCUCGGAAGUGCUUUGGAUACUGCCUUACUCGAGUUCGUGAGAGGAAAGCGGAAUUCCAGGUGUAGCGGUGAAAUGCGUAGAUAUCUGGAGGAACACCGGUGGCGAAAGCGGCUUUCUGGCGCGAUACUGACGCUGAGGCUCGAAAGCAUGGGGAGCGAACAGGAUUAGAUACCCUGGUAGUCCAUGCCGUAAACGUUGUGCACUAGGUGUAGGAGGUAUCGACCCCUUCUGUGCCGCAGCUAACGCAUUAAGUGCACCGCCUGGGGAGUACGGUCGCAAGACUGAAACUCAAAGGAAUUGACGGGGGCCCGCACAAGCGGUGGAGCAUGUGGUUUAAUUCGAGGCAACGCGAAGAACCUUACCCAGGCUUGACAUCCCGUGCUACCCUGUGAAAGCAGGGGUUCCCUUCGGGGACGCGGAGACAGGUGUUGCAUGGCUGUCGUCAGCUCGUGUCGUGAGAUGUUGGGUUAAGUCCCGCAACGAGCGCAACCCUUGUUCCUAGUUACCAGCGGUUCGGCCGGGCACUCUAGGAAGACUGCCGGUGAUAAGCCGGAGGAAGGUGGGGACGACGUCAAGUCAUCACGGCCCUUACGCCUGGGGCUACACACGUGCUACAAUGGCCGGUACAAAGGGAUGCAAUGCCGCGAGGCGGAGCUAAUCCCAAAAAGCCGGUCUCAGUUCGGAUUGGAGUCUGCAACUCGACUCCAUGAAGUCGGAAUCGCUAGUAAUCGCGCAUCAGCUACGGCGCGGUGAAUACGUUCCCGGGCCUUGUACACACCGCCCGUCACAUGACCCGAGUCGGGUGCACCCGAAGUCGCUGGCCCAACCCGCAAGGGAGGGAGGCGCCGAAGGUGUGCUUGGUGAGGGGGAUGAAGUCGUAACAAGGUAGCCGUACCGGAAGGUGCGGCUGGAUCACCUCCUUUCUAAGGAG
rnacentral:rRNA from 1 species